CGCCCACUAGCUAGCCCCCCCCCAACUUACAACAAAUAAACAUUACUAACCCAACAAAACACACAAAAAAUAAAAACAAAACAUUUGUCAACUUUAGUAUAGGCGAUAGAAAAAGAUUUACAGAGCUAUAGCAAUAGUACCGCAAGGGAAAGCUGAAAGAGAAAUGAAAUAAAUCGUUAAAGCAUAACACAGCAGAGAUAAAACCUCGUACCUUUUGCAUCAUGGUCUAGCAAGUCAGAUCCAAGCAAAAUGAUUUAUAGUUUGACCCCCCGAAACUAGACGAGCUACUUCGAAGCAGCCUAGUUAAAAGGACCAACCCGUCUCUGUGGCAAAAGAGUGGGAAGACUUCCAAGUAGAGGUGACAAGCCUAACGAGCCUAGUGAUAGCUGGUUACUUGAGAAAUGGAUAAAAGUUCAGCCUCAAAAAAUACUCUAAAAAAUAUAUAAGUACUACCUAAAAAUUUUAAGAAAGUUUGAGAGUUAUUCACAGGAGGUACAGCUCCUGUGAACUGGGAAACAACCCAAUAAGGAGGAAAAAGAUCAUAAUAAUACAAAGGAUAAGAGUCCUAGUGGGCCUGAAAGCAGCCACCCAUAAAGAAAGCGUUAAAGCUCGAACGUACCCCUUCCCUAUUAUUACGAUAAUCACAUCUUAUUCCCCUAACCUCACCAGGCCGCCCCAUGCCUACAUGGGCGUGACCAUGCUAAUAUGAGUAAUAAGAAAGCCAACUACGACUCUCUCCCCGCACAUGUGUAAAUCGGAACGAACCCACCACUAACAGUUAAACGAACCCACCGGAGGAGCAAAUUAAUACACAUAACAAAAACAAGAAAACCCUCCACAACAUUAACCUCAUCGUUAAAUCUUCACACAAGAGUGCCCAAAGGAAAGACUAAAAGAGAAAAAAGGAACUCGGCAAACUCGAACUAAGCCCCGCCUGUUUACCAAAAACAUCGCCUUCAGCUUUCCAUGUAUUGAAGGUCCUGCCUGCCCAGUGACAUGACGUUUAACGGCCGCGGUAUUCUGACCGUGCAAAGGUAGCGUAAUCACUUGUCUUUUAAAUGGAGACUGGUAUGAAUGGCCCCACGAGGGCUCAACUGUCUCUUUUCUCCUGUCAAUUAAACUGAUCUACCCGUGCAGAAGCGGGUAUAAAAACAUAAGACGAGAAGACCCUGUGGAGCUUUAGACGCAAUACAGAUUAUGUCACUAACCCCAAAUUAAAAAGUAGAAAACUAAGAAACCCCUGUCAUUACGUCUUCGGUUGGGGCGACCAUGGGGCAACAAAAACCCCCCACGUGGACUGAGAACAAAUAAUCCUCACCCUUACUUUAUUCUCAGCUUUAAAAGCCAAGAGCGACAACUCUAGAAAUCAGAACUUCUGACCAAAAAUGAUCCGGACUGACGCCGAUCAACGAACCAAGUUACCCCAGGGAUAACAGCGCAAUCCUCUCCAAGAGCCCGAAUCGACGAAAAGGUUUACGACCUCGAUGUUGGAUCAGGACAUCCUAAUGGUGCAGCCGCUAUUAAGGGUUCGUUUGUUCAACGAUUAAAGUCCUACGUGAUCUGAGUUCAGACCGGAGUAAUCCAGGUCAGUUUCUAUCUAUGAAGUUAUUUAUCCUAGUACGAAAGGAUUGGAUAAAUGAGGCCUAUAUUUAAGACACGCCUCCCUUUAACCUAAUGAAACCAGCUAAAUUAGAUAAGAGAGAUAAUACCUUGCCCCAGAAGAUUCCGGCAU
rnacentral:rRNA from 1 species